GGAGAAGCAAAAUGAUGAGCAAUUCUGGCUGGAGUCCCAAAAAGGCAUGAGUGAGUGUGUGUGUGUGUGUAUGUGUCUGUGUAUAUGUCUGUGUAUCCUUGUCUGUGCAUGCACACAUGUGUCUGAGUCCAAAUGUGUGUGACUGGUUUUAGGGAACUAGCUAUGUGCCUUGUAUUGGGCCAUGACAGUAAAACUGAUAAGAUCUGAUUGCUUC
rfam:Cavia porcellus supercont2_30 genomic scaffold, whole genome shotgun sequence.